AACCUCUGUUGGCAUCGAGAAAUAAUUACAUCAUCCUCAUGCUAAUCCCUACCAUCCUCUGUUGCAGAUGGCAGUGCUGUCACCCUCCAGCGAUCUUUCUCAGAGAUGGCUCUAAAUGUGGAAUCUCUGCUUGCUUGUAGCAAUCUGACUUAUUUCAAAGGAUAAGAGUUGGAUUCACAACAGAAGUAUUCAUAUUUUCAAGAUAAUGAAAGACUGUAGCAAGACUGAGAUAUUUAUUUGGAUUUGGUGAUACAGUGAUGGGUGAUCUCCUUACAUCUUACAUCUCCUCACAUCGCCUCUUACAUUGGCAGCUCAGAAGUUAUUUCUGCCUCACAAUGCCCAGGUACACUACUUAUUUGAUAAUUUCCUAAAAGCUCAAGGUUGAAAGAGCAAAGUUAUCUUCCACCAUCCUCUAAGAAG
rnacentral:lncRNA from 1 species